rnacentral:rRNA from 1 species
AAAGAUUAAGCCAUGCAUGUCUAAGUAUAAGCAAUUUAUACAGUGAAACUGCGAAUGGCUCAUUAAAUCAGUUAUCGUUUUUUUGAUAGUCCCUUACUACUUGGAUAACCGUGGUAAUUCUAGAGCUAAUACAUGCUAAAAAUCCCGACCUCUGGAAGGGAUGUAUUUAUUAAAUAAAAAACCAAGGUCUUCGGACUCUUGGGGGAUUCUUGAUAACUUUACGAAUCGCAUGGUCUUGCGCCGGCGAAGGUUCAUUCAAAUUUCUGCCCUAUCAACUUUCGAUGGUAGGAUAGUGGCCUACCAUGGUUU